AAAAAGGAACUACUGAAUUGCUUCAUAUUUAAGCAGACGUUCUGGAAGGUUGAGAAUACAUGUUUUAUAUUUGCAAGUUUUGACAACCUGGGAAAAGGAGGACAAAGUGGGCUAGAGAUGCUGCUUCAGAUCUGGUCGCCAACACAAUCUCAUUGCGAAGUUUCUGACUAAUUUCAUUUUCCAGUCACCAAAUUUACAGGUUGUACGCGGUGAAACAAAGUCACUGCAAAGAAUAGAGGAAAGUUUGCAGAAACUGGAGGUGCAGGUAAUGCAGAGGAAAAUGAGCAAAUAGCCUCUGGCACCUUCAGUCUCAGCUAUUUGGAUCCUAAGAUUUCUGUAGCCUGGCAUAAAACAGGGGGUUCCAGUGGGAAAAAUCUGCAGGAAAAGCCAGCGAGUGUUUGGAAGCAGAGGACACUUCUGCUAGUCCGAGCCUUAGAAGGAACAGCACUGGGACUUAAAGGGCCCCCAAAUAAAGAUGCAAAGGUGACUGGUUUGUCUUACUCCACUCCUUCAGCCAUUCAUCUCCUCGUUAUCUCCAUGAAGCAGAACCCUAUCCCCAGUUCCAGGUGGCCCAACUGAAUGCAGAACCAAUUACAAAUGUCAGUGAAUGUGCUUCAGCAGUGGCCAUAUCCCCUCCCAUGAACAUGAGGCAGGAGCGGGUUAAUCUGGAAACACAUCUCACAAGCUCAAUAAUGUGUGAAAACUGAGAUUUAAAUCUG